UACGUAGGGUGCGAGCGUUGUUCGGAAUUACUGGGCGUAAAGGGCUCGUAGGCGGCCAACUAAGUCAUACGUGAAAUCCCUCAGCUUAACUGGGGAACUGCGUGUGAUACUGGAUGGCUUGGAUUUGGGAGAGGGAAGCGGAAUUCCCGGUGUAGUGGUGAAAUGCGUAGAUAUCGGGAGGAACACCAGUGGCGAAGGCGGCUUCCUGGCCUGUUCUUGACGCUGAGGCGCGAAAGCUAGGGGAGCAAACGGGG
rnacentral:rRNA from 1 species